CUCAGCGGAUUGAGAGCCAGCCCUAGAGGCAGAAGGUCCUGGGUUCAAAUCGGACCUCAGAUACUUCCCAGCUGUGUGACUCUGAUAGACAGAAAACAGCUGUUUUUAAAUCUCAGCAACAGGACUCUAAAGUCCUGGCUGGAAGAACUGUUUCUAAAUAUCCUUUCCCUUAAGGAACAACUUCCUGGAUUAAAAAAAAAAAAAAAAAAAAAAAAGAAAAAAAAGGAAGCAUCCGAACCCUUUCCCUGUCCUCUAAGCUCUUUCCUCCAAGAUGUGCUCUUCUGCCCCUUAAACUCAUCCAGUACUCACCGCUAACAAAUUUCUCACGCUGUCCGAUGGCGUCAGAAGCAGUCUAAAGUUCCGAGCGAGGCCAUGACUCUGUUUCUCCCCAUUUUUCCCCAAUUCCUUCCUCGGGCUGCUUGCGUUGCGCCUCCAACAGCUGUCCCCCACCAU
rnacentral:lncRNA from 1 species